AUCGCUUCUCGGCCUUUUGGCUAAGAUCAAGUGAAGAAAAUGUGUUUUUUUCUAUAAAAUGGAAUACUACUCAGUCAUAAAGAAUGAGAAAUUAAAGUCAUUCAUAGGAAAAUGGAUAUAUUUU
rnacentral:snRNA from 1 species